GGAGUUUGGACCGUGUCUCAGUUCCAAUGUGGGGGACCUUCCUCUCAGAACCCCUACUGAUCGAUGGCUCGGUGGGCCGUUACCCCGCCGACUACCUAAUCAGACGCAUCCCCAUCGCACAGCGAUAAAUCUUUGUUCCCAAUCAGAUGCCAUCAAGGGAAAACAUAGGGCAUUAAUUCGACUUUCGCCGGGCUAUUCCCUACUGUGCGGAAGGUUGGAUACGCGUUACUCACCCGUGCGCCGGUCGCCAUCAAUCUUAGCAAGCUAAGAUCAUGCUGCCCCUCGACUUGCAUGUGUUAAGCCUGUAGCUAGCGUUCAUC
rnacentral:rRNA from 1 species